GCCUUCAAAUGGGAAAGCUCAGCCGGUAGAGCAUGAGACUCUUAAUCUUGGGGUCGUGGGUUCAGGCCCCACAUUGGGCA